rnacentral:rRNA from 1 species
UACGUAGGGUGCAAGCGUUAAUCGGAAUUACUGGGCGUAAAGCGUGCGCAGGCGGUUUUGUAAGUUUGUCGUGAAAUCCCCGGGCUCAACCUGGGAAUGGCGAUGAAGACUGCAAGGCUAGAAUCUGGCAGAGGGGGUAGAAUUCCACGUGUGAGCAGUGAAAUGCGUAGAGAUGUGGAGGAACACCGAUGGCGAAGGCAGCCCCCUGGGUCAAGAUUGACGCUCCAUGCACGAAAGCGUGGGGAGCAAACAGG